AGAUGUGAAUUCUCUGACUGGAUGGUCUGCACUUGUGGUUUACAGGUUUGAACUAUUCAGUGACCAUAACCAACUGUGGAAUGCCAUAAAUGGAGCAAUAUAAUGACUGGAGCUACCCAGCAUCCUUCAGAUUAACAGCUGGCUCUCCAAGGCUCCUUUGCAAAAGCAAUGCAGUCCUUCACACAGCAGCCUCUUUGGGCUAAGAUGAGCAAAGAUCUUUGAUGCUUCCAUUUUCUCACUCCAUGAAUGGAUCAAAGAGCCCAAAAUCCACAGGGCUUUGAAACAGGAGGAGCAGUGGAAGAGAGAUUACAGUCAGCUGGAACAGAAAUGCAUUAGUCUGGAGCUUGAUUGGUCUGGUUUUGUGGUUGACAUUUGUGAGCAUGAAAGCAUUAGGGAGAAAUAACAAUGGCAUUUUUAGAUAAAAUAACAGUAGAUUAAAAAAAGUUAAUUUUGUACUAAAUUCCACAGUAAUAUUAUGUCUUGCAGUAAAUUUCUAACUAUCCUGAAGUGAUAACCAGUUUUCUUUUGUGUAAAAGGAGCCAUAGUCUAAGGAGACUCUUGAGUGGCAGCCUAGAUAUGAGAAAUGUUAUUUGAAUUAGGAAUUCUUAUCCAUGUUUAUAGUACUUUCCAGAGGCUUUCUCUCAUUUUUAGGCCUUUUUCACAAAAGCAUAUGCAAUAAAAAUGUUACUGCUGCCAGCUUGUAUGCCUGAAAGGUCAAUUCUUCUUUUUGUUCUAACUUUAUCAGUUUCUUUAAUAAAAGAUAUUAACUCUCUUCACAAACCUGUCUCACGGAGAGAAGAAAAAUAUCCCCAUCUCCAAAGAAAAUAUCACUUCUAUUUAAUGAUUAAAACAGAUCAGUGUGAGAGAAGACAUAAGGCAGCUACCAGAAAAUUCUGGUGAGUAGCAAGCUACAAAAGCUUCGGUUUUCUGGUCAUUCUGAAAGUUUUUGGUGCUGUUUUCCUCGUAAAAUUGAGCACAAUAGAGCAAGAAAUGUUUCAAGGCCGUGGUUGGUACAUCAGGAAAAGAAUCCUUCCUUCCUGACAGUAUGGACUCUCUAAAUUCCAUAUAAAUUCUAAAUUGAGAAGGUGCUAGAGCAGCUCAGUGCCAAUUCCAUCCCUCCAGCCUGAGCCAUGGAACAUCCCAACACCAAACUCCCAUCUUUGGCUGCUGGAAAGGACUGAGGUGGCUUUGAGAAGGCACCUCUGCAUGUAUCAGAGGACGACAUGGGAGGGUGCUGUCUGAGGCCUUGAAUGUGAACACACCUCAAAAUCAAAGGAGAUUUAUUACCAAUAAGAUCAUUAUAAUACUAAUAAUCAUGAUUAAUAACAAGCAAAAGUAGUUACAUUUCCAUAAGAUAUAACUGUGCUAUUAAACUAGUAUUUUUUCUAAGAAAGGCAUAAGAAGUUAAUGCUAAUUAAAGUAACAAACAAAACAAAAUAGUAACAAAACCCAUUGAAAUUCCAUAAAAUAUAACAGCAAUUAAUAGUAACUAAUAGUAACAAAUUCAAUUACAUUUCUAUAAAAUGUAACAACUGAUAGUACAGUAGUAAUUAAUACUAUAUAGUAGUAAACAAGAAUUAUUACAUUUCUAUGAAAUGUAACAGUAAUUAAUACUAAUUGCAAGAAACAGAAACCAUUACAUUUCUAUAAAAUCUGAUGGUAAUUAAUAGUAAUGCUCAUUGCAUUUCUAUAAAUAUAAUUUUACAAUACUUAAUCAUUACAUUAUAUUAUAAACUAUAAUAUUAAUAAGAGCAAUGCUAAUAAGAUGUUAGCCUAGUGCAGGUAACCAGACCUGUGGUGUUAAUACCAAGCAAGAACACAAACCCAACUCCAAUUUUGAGGAUUUUUGUUCCAGGUUCAGCAUUUAAAUUCCUCCCCUCUCUGGGUGUGAAUUUGAGACAAGUUAUCCCAGGGAAUAUCCAAGCCUGUGCAGGGCUCAUCAGCUCUGCAUGGUCACUGCUUUGAUUAUUCAAAGGUGUUUGUGGAAAAGAAGUCUAAGAGUUCAGCUUUGAGGGAUGAUCACUCUUUCUGCACCAUUUAAGCCCAUCAUCUCAUUUCUAAGUGGUACUGAUUACAACUCACGGGCAACCACAGUCAUUUUCAGAAUGGAAGGGUGAGAGAAAUGUGACCCUGUCAUAAAACAAAGCCCAUGGGCUAAAGGCUUGGGGAGGGGGGCUGUUUCCAUGUGUGAUUCAAUGCAUCUCAUUGGUAUAAUGCCUUCACAUUUAAACAGCUUAAUUUUUAAAUCACCAGAUAAUUGUGUAAUUGUGGUAUUUCUGUUCCCUGUGAUGAACCUGCCUAAUGGUUCUGUGAAAAUAAAAUCGCCUGAAAGCAUCCCCAGCUCUGUUCCUUGGUGUCACUGGGGGGCUCGGAGCUGGGCCCUGGAGCAGGUAAAUGAUGUUUGACUUGGCAAAUAAAGACAUUUACACCUACUGGGGCCAGUUCACUUCUCAUUCCAGGGAGGACAUUUCUCAUGACAUCCCCAAUGUGGUUCCAUAGGCCAGUCAGCUGCUCCUGAUUUCUCCUUGUAGCAGCUCUUUUUGCAGAGAGCUCUUUUUCCACCGCUGUCAAAGGAAGCUCAAUCCAUUACAAACACACUUGUUGGACUCUCCUGAAAAAAAUAUACCCAAAGCAUUUUGACUAAGCAGGCAAAUCUCAGUGUUCUUUUAUGUCUUCCCAUUUCACUGAAACAAAAACCACUUGCUAAAUACAUAUAAUUUGAGUCAAAUUGGUAUAAAUGCCUGUCAAAGAUAGGGAUAGCACCAAGGAUGAUAAGGAAAAAACCAGCUAAAUGUUCCCAAUUAAAUACAUCAGUCUAUUUGAGAGAAACACCUGGAUUUGUACAAAUAGGCUGUUUGUGAUUUGCCUCUUCAUAUAGAAUCUCCAGAGCUGAAUAAAACAUGAGUAAUUACAGGCAACUUCAGGUAAUCUUUAAUUCUUUCUCUUCACCCAAAUGGGACUUGGCACACAAUUUUCAAAUGCAGCCACAGUGAAACUGCACUGCCCCAGGCUAGGACUCAUGGCCACACUUUUAUGAUUUUUUUUUUUUUUUUACUUAAAGACAUUUCUCUUUCAGCAGUCAGAAGCCUUUUACCAAAACCAAGUUCAAUUUAUUAAACAAAG